rnacentral:rRNA from 1 species
UACGUAGGGGGCAAGCGUUGUCCGGAUUUAUUGGGCGUAAAGAGCGUGUAGGCGGCCUUACAGGUCAGCUGUGAAAACUCGAGGCUCAACCUCGAGACGUCGGUUGAAACCGUAUGGCUAGAGUCCGGAAGAGGAGAGUGGAAUUCCCGGUGUAGCGGUGAAAUGCGCAGAUAUCGGGAAGAACACCCGUGGCGAAGGCGGCUCUCUGGGACGGUACUGACGCUGAGACGCGAAAGCGUGGGGAGGCGAACAGG